CAGUAGCCGCGGUAAUACGAAGGGUGCAAGCGUUACUCGGAAUUACUGGGCGUAAAGCGUGCGUAGGUGGUGGUUUAAGUCCGUUGUGAAAGCCCUGGGCUCAACCUGGGAAUUGCAGUGGAUACUGGAUCACUAGAGUGUGGUAGAGGAUAGUGGAAUUUCCGGUGUAGCAGUGAAAUGCGUAGAGAUCGGAAGGAACAUCUGUGGCGAAGGCGACUAUCUGGGCCAACACUGACACUGAGGCACGAAAGCGUGGGGAGCAAACAGGAUUAGAUACCCCCGUAGUCCUGUCUCUUAUACA
rnacentral:rRNA from 1 species